UGUGGCGAUAAUUUCACAAGUGUAUACAUAGGUAAAAAUUUAUCAAAUUUACACUUUUAAUAUAUACCAUUUAUUACAUGUCAAUUGCACUUCAAUAAAACUGUUAAAAACUUUUCAGGUUGUACACUUUAAAUAUAAACAGUUUAUUGUACGUCAAUUAUAUCUUAAUAAAGCUGUUAAAAGAGUCAAAAGAUGAAUGAAAGCUAAAAAAAUACUUUAAAAUCAUAAGCAAAAGGCUAAUUUCCUUAACACAAAGUCUCUACUAAAUCAACAAGAAAAAGACCAAAAACAUAAUUGAAAAGUUGCAUGGUUCAUACUAUUUCUAGAUAUUGAAGUCUUCAUUAUUUAUUAACGUAUUUCUGGAGGUGGAAGCUGGGUGAAAAUGGUCUGAACAUUGUUUAACACUUUGGAAGCAUAUUGCCAAAUUGCUCCUUGAAAGACCCUACUGAUUUACAUUCUCACCUGCAGGGCUUAUCCUCACUGGGGCCCCCUGAGCAACUCUAGAAAAAUGUCAAUUGCUUGUUUCCAUUUGAAGCCAGAGAAUUGUUCCUAUAUUGAUGAAAAAGCUACACGAGAUCACAGAACAUAUAAAAGAGCCUGGUCCUCAAUCAGAAAAUUUAGAAAAGAAAGAAAAACAGACGAUAGUCCUUUUCUAUUGAAGCUUUCUA
rnacentral:lncRNA from 1 species